rnacentral:rRNA from 1 species
CAGUCGCCACGGUAAUACAGAGGGUGCGAGCGUUAAUCGGAUUUACUGGGCGUAAAGCGUGCGUAGGCGGCUUUUUAAGUCGGAUGUGAAAUCCCUGAGCUUAACUUAGGAAUUGCAUUCGAUACUGGGAAGCUAGAGUAUGGGAGAGGAUGGUAGAAUUUCAGGUGUAGCGGUGAAAUGCGUAGAGAUCUGGAGGAAUACCGAUGGCGAAGGCAGCCAUCUGGCCUAAUACUGACGCUGAGGUACGAAAGCAUGGGGAGCAAACAGGAUUAGAUACCCCUGUAGUCCCUGUCUCUUAUAC